rnacentral:rRNA from 1 species
GACGAACGCUGGCGGCGUGCUUAACACAUGCAAGUCGAACGAUGAAGCGGUGCUUGCACCGUGGAUUAGUGGCGAACGGGUGAGUAAUACGUGAGUGACCUACCUUUGACUCUGGGAUAAGCCUGGGAAACUGGGUCUAAUACCGGAUACGACCAAUCUCUGCAUGGGGUGUUGGUGGACAGCGUUAUGGAGUGGUUUUAGAUGGGCUCACGGCCUAUCAGCUUGUUGGUGAGGUCAUGGCUUACCAAGGCGACGACGGGUAGCCGGCCUGAGAGGGUGACCGGCCACAGUGGGACUGAGACACGGCCCAGACUCCUACGGGAGGCCGCAGUGGGGAAUAUUGCACAAUGGGCGCAAGCCUGAUGCAGCGACGCCGCGUGAGGGAUGACGGCCUUCGGGUUGUAAACCUCUGUUAGCAUCGAAGAAGCGAAAGUGACGGUAGGUGCAGAGAAAGCGCCGGCCAACUACGUG